rnacentral:rRNA from 1 species
GAUGAAUGCUGGCGGCGCGCCUAACACAUGCAAGUCGAGCGGUAACAGGGGUAGUUUACUACCUGCUGACGAGCGGCGGACGGCUGAGUAACGCGUGGGAACAUGCCCCAAAGUGAGGAAUAAGCUCAAGAAAUUGAGUCUAAUGCCGCAUAUGAUCUUCGGAUUAAAGGAUUUAUCCGCUUUGGGAGUGGCCUGCGUACGAUUAGAUAGUUGGUGAGGUAAUGGCUCACCAAGUCGACGAUCGUUAACUGUUCUGAGAGGAUGAUCAGUCAGACUGGAACUGAGACACGGUCCAGACUCCUACGGGAGGCAGCAGUGAGGAAUCUUCCACAAUGGGCGAAAGCCUGAUGGAGCGACGCCGCGUGCAGGAUGAAGGCCUUCGGGUUGUAAACUGCUUUUAUAAGUGAAGAAUAUGACGGUAACUUAUGAAUAAGCACCGGCUAACUACGUGC